GCGCCGCUGAAGAGUCCCAAAAUAGGACGAAACGACCGUCCAGUGC
rfam:Schistosoma curassoni strain Dakar, Senegal genome assembly, scaffold: SCTD_scaffold0012377